GACGUAGGGCGCGAGCGUUGUCCGGAUUUAUUGGGCGUAAAGAGCUCGUAGGCGGUUUGUCGCGUCGUCUGUGAAAACCCACGGCUCAACUGUGGGCUUGCAGUCGAUACGGGCAGGCUAGAGUUCGGUAGGGGAGACUGGAAUUCCUGGUGUAGCGGUGAAAUGCGCAGAUAUCAGGAGGAACACCGGUGGCGAAGGCGGGUCUCUGGGCCGAUACUGACGCUGAGGUGCGAAAGCGUGGGGAGCAAACAGG
rnacentral:rRNA from 1 species